rnacentral:lncRNA from 1 species
GGGAAAUGAGGACCACCGCUCCGGGGCGCGAGUAGGCGCCUGCAGUCCGGGGGCUCAGCCGCCGCGCCUCUUCCUCUUGCAGCUGGAGACUGCAACAGCGGCGGGUGCACCGGCAGCAGCGACGACCCUGCGCGCAGGUGGCAGUGUAGAAGCCAGACCGGGAGCUUCCAGAAGUGGUUUCUGAAAGAGUCAAAUGUACAUGAGUAAGCAAGCACAGGAAUCUGAAAAACCACAGUAAUUUGUCUGCUUGACUAAAAUAAGGACGAGUUAUGUGCUGAUGAGAGACACGUUUGUAAUGUUAUUCGUUAUGACACAGUUCAAAAGAAUUUGCCUUUGAUUCUCACUAAAAUGUAAAGUUUUGCAUAUUAA